UUGAGCGAUACGCUGGGUUUGCUUGAAAGAAAGGCGGGAGUAUAAACUAAUGGAUAGGUUUUUUCCACUCAUUGGUACAAACUCCAAAACUUCUUCCAAAUUCGACCUCAAAUCAGGUAGGACUACCCGCUGAACUUAAGCAUAUCAAUAAGCGGAGGAAAAGAAACCAACAGGGAUUGCCUUAGUAGCGGCGAGUGAAGCGGCAAAAGCUCAAAUUUGAAAUCUGGCACUUUCAGUGUCCGAGUUGUAAUUUGAAGAAGGUAUCUUUGGGUCUGGCUCUUGUCUAUGUUUCUUGGAACAGAACGUCACAGAGGGUGAGAAUCCCGUGCGAUGAGAUGUCCCAGACCUAUGUAAAGUUCCUUCGAAGAGUCGAGUUGUUUGGGAAUGCAGCUCUAAGUGGGUGGUAAAUUCCAUCUAAAGCUAAAUAUUGGCGAGAGACCGAUAGCGAACAAGUACAGUGAUGGAAAGAUGAAAAGAACUUUGAAAAGAGAGUGAAAAAGUACGUGAAAUUGUUGAAAGGGAAGGGCUUGAGAUCAGACUUGGUAUUUUGUAUGUUACUCUCUCGGGGGUGGCCUCUACAGUUUACCGGGCCAGCAUCAGUUUGAGCGGUAGGAUAAGUGCAAAGAAAUGUGGCACUGCUUCGGUAGUGUGUUAUAGUCUUUGUCGAUACUGCCAGCUUAGACUGAGGACUGCGGCUUCGGCCUAGGAUGUUGGCAUAAUGAUCUUAAGUCGCCCGUCUUGAAACACGGACCAAGGGAGUCUAACGUCUAUGCGAGUGUUUGGGUGUAAAACCCGUACGCGUAAUGAAAGUGAACGUAGGUAGGACCUCCUUUAGGAGUGCACUAUCGACCGAUCCUGAUGUCU
rnacentral:rRNA from 1 species